UUUAGAGUGGUUUCAGUGGAUCCAUUUCUUUUUAACCAUGCAUACUCCAGGAUGAGUUCAUUGCUGCAUGGAUCUGAGGAGUAUGUAAGAUAUAUUUUAAACACUGUCAGCAAUGGAACAGAGGCUCUUUACCCAUAUUAUAGAGACCCAGGGAAUGACGGUAAGA